AUGUGGGCUAUUACUGGUUUAAAAAGGGGAGGGAAAAGGUUUAAACAGAAGGAGAAAGUGUAGAAAAGGAGAUGGACAAACAGGACAUUUGUGGGCAAGAAAAGGAGGGAAAAGGAGCUGUACCAACAGGGCGUUUAAGGACAAAAAGGAGGGAAAAGGUGUAAACGGAAGGAGAAAGUGUAGAAAAGGAGCUGUAUAAACAGAACUUUUGUGGGCAAGAAAAGGAGGGAAAAGGAGCUGUACCAACAGGGCAUUUAAGGACAAAAGAGGAGGGAAAAGGUAUAAAUGGAAGGAGAUUAUUGUAGAAAAGGAGCCGUAAAAACAGGACAUUUGUGGGGAGAAAAAAAAGCGGGAAAGAAGUGCAGACAAGGAGCCCGACAAACAGGGCAUUCAUGGGCAAGAAAAGGAGGGAAAAGGUGCAAACGGAAGGAGAAAGUGUUGGAAAGGAGGUGAACAAACAGGAAUUUUGCUGCGUCAUGAAUCCAGAAUCUGACGCAGGUUUGAUCAUUAACUUUGACCUUUGACAUUUGAUCUUUUCAUCGAUCGCUUCCAGCCCCCAAAUUUAGUCAGAAGCCACCAGAGUGCAAAGGUAAGAGGAUCAGUUAUCGCUUUGUCGUGUAAAACAUGCAGAAAACUUAAGUCCAAGUGCUUUGGUCUGUCUGUUGAAAUGAAAAUAUAAUUUUUAGGAGCUGAAACGAGCUCCAUCAGCUUCCAGAAGAGGUUAGAUUUUAUUUUAAACUCUUCACCUUUAGUGCUGUGUGUUGUGGUUUUACAAUAAUGAGGUGGAACCAGUUAAAAAAAGCACAAAAUACUAAAUAAACUGUUUCUACAGCAGCUAUAAUUAACAAUUAAUCAGCUAUAAGUCACUUUAACUUUGCUAUCCUGCCAUGAAUAGUGAAGUUUUUAAGAGGAAAUUGAAAUAAAAGCAGAUAAUUUCAAAUAAAUGUGAACCUAAAGAGAAUUUGUCAUGGUAAAUAAUCUUUAAAAAUGAUUUCCUUUGUCUAAUAAAUUUUUAAAAAACAAUAAAAACUGAACGAAGUUCAAGGUACUUGUGUUAAAUCUACCUUAAAAUCCGGAAAUCCAUUGACUAUAGCGGAGAUGUUUCAUACAAGAUAAAAAAUAAGAUUUUUUUAAUCACCAAGAAGCUGUAUUUUAGCUCCAUAUUUUAAUCAUACUCUUAAAUCAGGGCUUGUUUUGUUUUUUGAUAGUGUAAAUACUGUAAACAUUCAUUUGUGUUCUGCAAAAUUACGACAUAAAUGACUCGUUCAUUAAUUAAUUAGUCAAUUAAGCAAAAAUGCUGAACAUAUCCAUAUUCUAGCUGCUUCUUUGUGUGUUAUCUGACAAUAAACUCGGUAUCUUUUUGUUGUUUGACCAAAAAGAAAGAUUUAAAGAGAUUUUCCACAACUUCCUGACAACAUCCAGAGAUUAAUUGAUUAAUUGAAAAGCUAAUUUCCUGACAGUAGCUGCUGAAAACAAAGCACCAGCUGAGGUAGUUUAUUGUCUAAGUGGUAUUAUUUGGCGAGGAGCUGUGCAGCGCCACCCAGAGGUCGUCCACUCAAACUGCUCAAUGGAGCCAACAGAGUCCAGAGGAGUUUCGUCAUUUCAUUUCUCUGGAAGAACUUCAUGCCGUGCAGAUGUUCAGAACUCAUUGACUUCAUGGGAAUUUACUGCAUUUCUAGUUAAUGUUGUUGCAAAAAAACAAGAGGCCCGAUUACAUUUCUAGACUCUAAAUGGAGUUUCAUCUCGUAGUUAGUUACGUUUUAAACCAUUUUUUUCAGAUAAUCUUGUAGUAUGCAACUUUUUCUACAAAUAUGAAUAAAAUAGUGAUAUUCUUUAGUGGAUUUAAAGUAAUUUAACUGGAAAAUUGUGUGUUUUUAUGGUCAAAUGUUGUUAAAGAACAAGUUCCAUGAGGCAGAGUGAGACAUUCAAUUAAGGCUGACGAUGUUAUGAAAAUAUGAAAAAUAGAAUAGAGGACAGAGCUUUUUUUCUAGACAUUCUUCAGGAAUACUGUUUGAUGAUGUUAAUUCCAGUGUUUUAUGUGAAUCGUUGUUUUCUUCUUCUUUUCCCAGCUAAAAAGGUCAUAAUAAUUAAACGGGUAUUGUGGGACACAUCCAUAAUGAUUGUUAUUUAAUAUAUUAUGUUGAUUCGAAAAAAUGUUCCCACAACUACAAGAGACAUCAAUGAAAUAAAUAAUACUGAAAAAAAGGAGAUUUAAUUACACAGCAACUGCCUAUUUUUGGUAUUUUGUACAUGGAUUAUUUCACAUUUGAUGGGUGGGACUUAAAAUCUCCUCCAGUUCUGGAAUGAGCCACAACAUCACAAAGAAAUAAUCAUGGAUGAAAGAAAGAAACAUUGGACUGCUUUGACAUUUUAAUGUUCCUUUAAUCAUAUCUUACAGGUUUUGUAAUCAGGACCACCUUGAAAAGCCUCUGGCUGUUAGAGAUUAUCACUAAUUCUAUAAUCAGCGUUGCUUCCUUUGGAUAAUUACUGCAGUGAUGAGUAUAGUUCAACAACUUCUUUAACCCUAGCUGAUGCAGUGAGGACCUUCUCAUUUCUUAGACAACCAUGUUGGAAGACAUAUCCUGUGGUCACGGAAAGGAUGUUAAUCUGUCUCAGAAGGGUCAAAUUAUUGGCCUGCAUCAAGCAAAGAACUAAGGAGAUGAAACUACUAAAAUCAGGUUAAGAACUGUCCAACGUAUUCUUAAAACCGAAAGGAUAGUGGUGAACCAUCAUCUUAAGGAACAAACUGUUAGAUGAUCGUAGGAAACCAACAGUAGAACUGAUAGCUAUGUUUAAUAGUGAAAUCAAAAGCAUUCCUAUAUGCACAAUGUGAACGGAACCCCAAGGAUUGGGACUAAACUGCUGUGUACCACUAAGAAAACCACUAAUCAGCAAAGUUUAAUGGAGAAAAAAAAUGCUUCAAUUUUGCCUUCUAGUCCAAAUUUACCCUGUUCCUAAAUGAUAGGUGCACUAGUUCGGGUUUGGUUUUGGUCCUGACUUUGUGUUGGGUUUUUUAGGACUGGUUUCAGACUGUAUUCCGACUGGUUCUGGGCGUUUCUUUGGACAAGUUUAGGUUUGAUUUUGGUCUUGGUUUUAGACCUUUUAAGGACUGGUUUAGGACUGGUUUUAUCAUGUCUUCGACUUUUUUAGGAGUAGCUUAGGUUUAAUUUUGGUCCUGGUUUAAGACUUUUUGAGGACUGGUUCCAGGCUGCCUUAGGCAGGACUCGGACUUUCUUUAAUCCUAAGAACACCAAACAUACCACCAAGCAUGGUGGUGGCAGUAUCAUGCUCUAUGGAACUGGAACUUUACACAAAGUAAAUGGAAUACUGAAGACAGAGAAUUACCUCCAUGUUCUUCAGGAAAACCUAAAACCAUCAGCAGAACGUUGAUCUUGGACACAGUUGGAUGUUUCAACAAGACCGUGAGCCCAAACACACAUAAGACGUGGUAAAGAAAUGGUUCCAUCAGGCUAGAAUGAAGCUUCUAGACUGGUCUUCCUGAAGUCCUGACUUAGACCCAUCAAGAACCUGAAGAACCAAAAUUGCAAAACUGCACCAAAAUUGGUGCAGUUACGCUAAAUUUGUCGUUUUUUUUUUUUUUUGUCUCAGACUUGAGUAAGUUAAAUUGAAAUCCAAAUAUUCGGAUCUCAAAAUAAAUAUUCGGAUACCCCUGUCACGACCAAAUAUUUGGACAUUUGGGUCCAGCCCUAGCUGUGACAUUGCAGAAACUUAUCGAAACACAGCAAAUGAGUGACACAAUCAAAGCUAAAUGCGGUUCAACAAAAUAUUAGUGUGUUUUUUGGGGGCUUUUUUUUGGACGGGCAGUCUAUUUGAGCUGUUCAAAAUUAUAUCUUCUUAGAGAUCUUAUAAGGAAGAUGUGAUGGAAACAGAAGAAGAGAAAAGUCUACAGUUGUGGCCGGACAUGCUCUGAUAGGGGUUUAAUUUAAUCUGCUGGUGAGACUUCUUCUACAUGAGCACCUCGAGGAAACGGUUUACUGUCUCCUCUACGGGAAGUCCCUCACAAAAGGAAGGCACCUCGAGGACCUCAGGGUUCUUGAUCUCGCUUUGAAGGUUCAUAAAGCUG